CAAUUACUCCCUCCGUCCGAAAAAGCUUGUCCCAAGCUUGUCUUUCAAAUGGAUGUAUCUAGCACUAACUUUGUGCUAGAUACAUCCAUUUGAGGGACAAGCUUCUUCAGACGGAGGGAGUACUAG
rfam:Triticum aestivum genome assembly, contig: Triticum_aestivum_CS42_TGACv1_scaffold_640737_T_7AL-0.169232_1AL-0.088589